GUGUGACAUGUGUAAAUUGAGACUCAUCGGUGAAUCAAAUACUACCCUAGGCUGUAUCUCAUGAAUAGUGGUCUCGUAUCCUUUAGUCCCUCCCUGAUCAUCAGAUCCAUGACUGCUACCAUCACUCUCAUUGCCGCUAGUCUCUGAAUUUGAGUCAACUAAAUCCUGCACUCUCGAGAGUGCUGCAACUGCCUUUCCUUUUUCUUUGUCUUUUUGAGCUCCCUCGAUACCCCACUGUGAUUGAUCUCGUCUCAGCAUUUCUCACUCAAACAUCU
rnacentral:lncRNA from 1 species